CUUUUGAUGUCAUCAGAGUUUCUUUCCGGAAGCUUUGGCAACAAAAUCCAACUGAAAGUCCCAUGUCUCCACGGUAAGUCUCUGUAGUUUGUAUUUCAAGGACAUCUCACCAGGUCCACCCGAAUCUGAAUUAGUAUUUCGAAUCUAAAGUUAUGGCGAUGAUCAAUUUCUUUUUUCCUUCAAUGGUGUUGAUAACCUAUUUGAAAAGCCGUCGCUUUGUAGUUUUCAUGUCGAUUCGCUUGAUCCAGUCUUCUCACAAUUUUUUAGUUUUUCUCGAUAAGGUUAAAGUGCCGUAGCGAUUGCUGUAAGGUGUGAAGAUAAAUGUCUGUCGAAUAUGAUCUCUGAAUGAAAACAUGAAGAAGUGUCAGUAUGCCGUAAGUGGUGAGUUUUCCCUAGAAGGAACAUUAUCUUCCCUACCCUCGCAUCUCUAAAAAGCCAUCAGGAUGAAUCACUACUCUGCAUAUACUGAGGAGUCUGGACAAUUAUAUGGGACUGCUUUGGCGUAGGACCUGCUCUAGCUGAAGGGUAGGGAGAUUGAAUAUGACUUCCUGGAACUGAAUAGCCCUGUACCGUUGUAUAACUGUGACCAACAGGGAUGUUUUGAUUCAGUUGCCCGUAUUGGUAGCCUGGUGAGUUAACUGCCCCAGGUACUCCAUAAACCUGAAGGUGCUUACAGUGACUCAAGAGGCCUUCUGGAAGCUAGGAAAGAGGUUGCUGAGUUCAUUGAAUGACUUGAUGGGUAUCCCAGUGAUCCAAAACUCAUAUUCUCCACUGAUGGAGCUAGCUAAGGUGUGAAACAAAUCUUAAACUGUGCUAUACGCAGUGAGGGAGACAUGCAAUAUGAAGAAGAGCAGGAGAGUGCAAGUGCCACCAAGAAGCUUCACCAGAAAAGGCAAUUCAUCACAAUUUAAGUAGAAAAAAUAUGAAGUAUGAUCAGAAGAAAUAAGAUUUUGUCUAUAUCUCUUCUCCUCUAUGCAGAUCAACCAAAACGAUGGACGUAGCCCACGACUCUGAGCUUCCCCAAACAAGUAUGAGAAGACAAGUAGUAAAAGUGCUUUAUGUUUUAGUUAUUUCCUUAGUAUCUCAGUUGCACAUAGCAUGUUGUUUGUCAAUAGAGUUUGUGUCAGUGACGUUGUUGCAUCUUUUGAAACUUUAAAGCUUAAUAAAAGUGAAAGAUCGUUGAUAUGUUAUCGAUGAAGUCGAAUGAAUGUUGCUACCAUUUAUCUUUUUCUUUAAAAUCAAAUCAAAUGGGUUGAUUGUCCACUGCGUUUAUUAAAACGUUUUCCCGAUACUAAAGGAGUUGUGAAUGUCUUAAUAUGCUAAACAAAUCUUCAGAAGUAGUUUGAUUUUGCAUAAUAAGAAACUGUAGUAGCAGGUUGGAUCGAGGAAAGGAAUCAAAGAGAAAGAAUAAUAAUAAAAAGAUUGAGAUCCGAGAAAAAGACCAAAAGGUUUGAACAAUACACAUAAUCAAUCCCCUGGACAAAAAAGAUUGUUCAAAACAAAUGUUUUCUACUACUAUUACUUUUAAAUAAUCUCCACUCGAAGGAGAAUAUUUUUUGUAUUACAGAAGGGAAUUUGUAAAUUUGAAAACGUUAUUGGAUCCACGUGUUUUUUUAAUAUUCAAAAUCAUAAAAGUUCAAGUUUUCGUUAAGAUUAUGAGACUUUCAAUUAUACACAUAAAACUGUAUGUUUUAGCGGAAAUUUAUUUUUUCAAAGAUACAUUUUUGUAUUUUCAAUACAUUUUAUUAACUAAUAAUGAUAAAUUCUAAAUUUCAAAUACUAAUUGCAUUUCUUGACUUUUUACCGGUUUAGAAUUAUAAGAAAUAUAAAUCACAAAAUAUAUAUUUAUAACUAAGACUUAAAUAAAUAUAUAUUCACAAAAAUAAGAUUUAAUAUGUGUAAAAAUUGUAAAACAUAUAUGAUUUGCAACAGAGGGAGUAGUAUAUUAGAGUUUUAGAUUAGUAGUUGGUGUAAAAUCAAUUAUACACACUUGACUCUCAUUUUAAUAUAUAUGUAACUAUUGUGAAUGUACGAAAAAUUUAAUUAUUGUGAAUGUAAGAAAAUUUAACAUUUAUGGUAAAUGAAGUUUUAAGCAAUUAUAUUUUAAUUGAGUAUAAAAGUACAUAUUAAAAUUUUUUUUGAUAUAAUCUCUUAUGAAAUUCAAAAAUUACUACUAUUUUCAUUUUAAUUUAAUUGUUGUUGUAGAGUAAAUUGUUUGUUUCAAGAUAAAUGUUGUUUUAGAAUUUAAAUACAUAAUUGAUUAACUUUAUAUGUUAUAUGAUUUUUGUAUUCUUCAGUCUAUUUUUUACUGAUUGAAAUGUGAUUAAGUGUAUAACUAAUGAUAUUUUAUUUUAGUAAUAUACAAAAUUAAUUUUUUUUUUACAUCUGUAUGCACAAAUCGAAAAUGACAAUUAAAAUGAAACAUAAUUAGUAUUAUAAAAACAUUACAUUCACCUUAAACAUUGUUAGUCCUUUUAGGUGUGUGAUCAUGGAAGAAUAACACUCAUUGCUGGCCAAUUGGUUAAUGCAUCAAAUGUCUAAAAAAUUAUAUUAAUAGAAAACUACAAAAAAAUGUCUAAAUUGUUUUAAAAUAAUAUGCAAACAAUAUUUGUUUUAGAAUUAAUAUAGUACACUAUUAUAUGUUAGAAACAGACUUUUAAAUCCUGAUAUAUUAGAAAUUGCUAAAUUUGUUUUAUUGAAAUUCAAUAUUAUAUUAUCACACAUUUUAAAAAUGAUCUCAGUUCUAUUUCCUAAGAUAAGUAUAUAAUAGUCAAUUGGAAAAUGUUAAUGUAAACCUAGAACAAAAUUAUUAACUGUGUAACUUGAUCAGAAUUGUUUUUGCCAUGCAUUGACUUAAAGUGAUAUUUUAGUCAUUUUCAAGUAAAUGAAUCAAAGAUACACAACUAUAAUAUGAAAAAAUUAAUACGCAAUGUCAAUUCCUCAUAUUUAUCAUAUUAAUUGUUGUCUUCCGCACUAUUGGUUUCAAAUAAUAAUAACCUAUUAUAUAACCAAAUAAAUAAAUUUGAUACGGCUUAAGGAAAUUUUUUCAUAUAUACAAUAAAUAAAACAAAACAACAGUAAAAUAUUAAUUUGAAAUAAAACAAAAAAUGACUACUCUAAAUUUAUAAUGAAAAAGUACAAAAAUUGUAAAAAAUAGAAAUU